rfam:Gossypium arboreum cultivar AKA8401 contig_21992_3, whole genome shotgun sequence.
AACCCAUGGUGAGGGCACCUUCUCAAAAGAUCCCUGUAUCUCUCUCAUGCAUUGUAGAAUCUUUUUAAAUGCAUCUGCACAAAAGAAGAGAUAUCAUUACGUAAUUU